rnacentral:rRNA from 1 species
UAGGGAAUCUUCGGCAAUGGACGAAAGUCUGACCGAGCAACGCCGCGUGAGUGAAGAAGGUUUUCGGAUCGUAAAACUCUGUUGUUAGAGAAGAACAAGGACGUUAGUAACUGAACGUCCCCUGACGGUAUCUAACCAGAAAGCCACGGCUAACUACGUGCCAGCAGCCGCGGUAAUACGUAGGUGGCAAGCGUUGUCCGGAUUUAUUGGGCGUAAAGCGAGCGCAGGCGGUUUCUUAAGUCUGAUGUGAAAGCCCCCGGCUCAACCGGGGAGGGUCGGUGGAAACUGGGAGACUUGAGUGCAGAAGAGGAGAGUGGAAUUCCAUGUGUAGCGUUGAAAUGCGUAGAUAUAUGUAGGAGCACCAGUGGCGAAGGCGGCUCUCUGGUCUGUACCUGACGCUGAGGCUCGAAAGCGUGGGGAGCAAACAGG